rnacentral:rRNA from 1 species
UACGUAGGGUCCGAGCGUUGUCCGGAAUUACUGGGCGUAAAGAGCUCGUAGGUGGUUUGUCGCGUUGUUCGUGAAAACUCACAGCUCAACUGUGGGGGUGCGGGCGAUACGGGCAGACUUGAGUACUGCAGGGGAGACUGGAAUUCCUGGUGUAGCGGUGGAAUGCGCAGAUAUCAGGAGGAACACCGGUGGCGAAGGCGGGUCUCUGGGCCGAUACUGACGCUGAGGAGCGAAAGCGUGGGGAGCGAACAGG